CCUACGGGUGGCAGCAGUGGGGAAUAUUGCACAAUGGGGGAGACCCUGAUGCAGCGACGCCGCGUGAAGGAAGAAGUAUUUCGGUGUGUAAACUUCUAUCAGCAGGGAAGAAAAUGACGGUACCUGACUAAGAAGCCCCGGCUAACUACGUGCCAGCAGCAGCGGUAAUACGUAGGGGGCAAGCGUUAUCCGGAUUUACUGGGUGUAAAGGGAGCGUAGGCGGCGUUGCAAGUCAGAAGUGAAAGCCCGGGGCUCAACCCCGGGACUGCUUUUGAAACUGUGUUGCUAGAUUGCAGGAGAGGUAAGUGGAAUUCGUGGUGUAGCGGUGAAAUGCGUAGAUAUCAGGAGGAACACCAGUGGCGAAGGCGGCUUACUGGACUGCAAAUGACGCUGAGGCUCGAAAGCGUGGGGAGCAAACAGGAUUAGAUACCCGGGUAGUC
rnacentral:rRNA from 1 species